CACUUUAGAUGUUGCUUGUAACCUGGUUUUAUUUUCCCUUCACAAAUCUUGAGUCAUUUUCUUAUGUUGUAGAAACACCGAAUUGCAAAAGACAUGCUGGACUCGACACAAGGAAAAUUACAGAAAAAUAAAUAGCAUGAACAAUGUGCCCCAGCUCGAUGUUGAAACGUAAAGUUCAUGAAUCUCAUCCCAUCUUUUAGUCAUUCAAUUCAUACAAAUUUCUCCCCUUGAAAUUGGCCUUCUUUUGAUUGAGAGGCACUGCAAGUGCAGCUAGAUGUCCAGAGGCGUCUUCAUGAACAAUUAGAGGUUCAGAGAAAUCUACAGCUACGAAUUGAAGAACAAGGGAAGCAACUCAAAAUGAUGUUUGACCAACAACAGAAAACAACUAGUGGCCUCUUCAAGAAUCACAAAUACUUCCUCUGCUGAACCAUCAAUUAGUCUUAAAGAUGUUCAGGCUUCAACUUCUAAAGGUCCUAUCCCCUGUUUGUAUUUUUUUGGGACAAUGAGGAUUAAACUUUAGAAAAAGUGGUUGUCAUGUGUUGUUGAACUGUUUCCACAAGGUGCAAUAAGCUGCCAGAUUGGUGCUC